rnacentral:rRNA from 1 species
ACUCCUACGGGAGGCAGCAGUGGGGAAGUAUUGCACAAUGGGGAAAGACCCUGAUGCAGCCAUGCCGCGUGUGUGAAGAAGGCCUUCGGGUUGUAAAGCACUUUCAGUAGGGAGGAAGGUAGUGUGAGUUAACACCUGCACUAUUUUGACGUUACCUACAUGAAGAAUGCACCGGCUAAACUCCCGUGCCAGCAGCCGCGGUAAUACGGAGGGUGCGAGCGUUAAUCGGAAUUACUGGGCGUAAAGCGCAUGCAGGCGGCCUGUUAAGUCAGAUGUGAAAGCCCGGGGCUUAACCUCGGAAUUGCAUUUGAAACUGGCAGGCUAGAGUC